AGAUAUGGCACGACCAUCACUCAUUUAUCUGACUACCGCAGGCCUCUAUCUCGUCUUUAAGUAAAGAAGAACCAGGCUGUUGAAACAUAUGUAAUGCUUUCAGUUUCAUAUCUGAGGCGCUAGAUAGGGCCACACUAUCUUUUCCCUGGAAAUACUCAGUCGUAGUAUGUUCUUGCCAAGGUGAAGAAUGAGAUGGAGAGAAUCUGCUGCUCCUGCUGUGUAUUACUGACUCAACAAGACCUUGACUUGUUUUGGGUGGUUUGUGGAUUUUACUGGUUGUGGAAGGAGGUAUGCAAGGAUAACAGCUCUGAGUCUUCACCUAUAAUGCCUGAGUUUGGAGAACACCUGACAAGAGACCAUUUCUUCAUGCAGAAUCUCUCCAGAUCCUUAGAUCCUACGACUAAGUUUUAAACCUGUUUGAAAUCUAGUCUUCAAGUGUGUAUACUGUCCUGUUAGAUGAGAGCAGUAAUGAAAUGGCAAGAGAGUGAAAGAGUGCAAAAGAGAACUAAAACAAUAAAUAAAAAAACAUCAAACUGUUCUGCACAUUUCCCGAAGCAGACUCAUCUAUAUUUUCAUCUUUUCUUUUUCUUUUUUCUCCCUAUUCUGUGACUCUGUAUAAACAUGACUGCAAGCUCUUCCUCCUUGUUGCUUGUUGACAUGUCAAGAAUAAACUCUCCUGUUUCUGUG